rnacentral:rRNA from 1 species
UACAGAGGGGGCAAGCGUUAUUCGGAAUUAUUGGGCGUAAAGGGCGCGUAGGCGGCUUGGCAAGUGGAAGGUGAAAUCCCUCGGCUUAACCGAGGAACUGCCCUCCAAACUGCUUUGCUUGAGGCCGGGAGAGGUGAGUGGAAUUCCCAGUGUAGCGGUGAAAUGCGUAGAUAUUGGGAAGAACACCAAUGGCGAAAGCACUCUGCUGG